UACGUAGGAUGCAAGCGUUGUCCGGAAUUACUGGGCGUAAAGGGCUCGUAGGCGGCCAACUAAGUCGGAUGUGAAAUCCCCAGGCUCAACCUGGGAACUGCAUCCGAUACUGGAUGGCUUGAAUUCGGGAGAGGGAUGCAGAAUUCCAGGUGUAGCGGUGAAAUGCGUAGAUAUCUGGAGGAAUACCGGUGGCGAAGGCGGCAUCCUGGACCGACAUUGACGCUGAUGAGCGAAAGCUAGGGGAGCAAACGGG
rnacentral:rRNA from 1 species